GAUGAACGCUGGCGGCGUGCUUAACACAUGCAAGUCGAACGAGAAGUGAAGACGGAAACCUUCGGGCGGAAGACUUUAUUUCGAGUGGCGGACGGGUGAGUAACGCGUGGGUAACCUGCCUCAUACAGGGGGAUAACAGUUGGAAACGACUGUUAAUACCGCAUAAGACCACAGCACCGCAUGGUGCGGGGGUAAAAACUCCGGUGGUAUGAGAUGGACCCGCGUUCGAUUAGCCAGUUGGCGGGGUAACGGCCCACCAAAGCGACGAUCGAUAGCCGAUCUGAGAGGAUGACCGGCCACAUUGGGACUGAGACACGGCCCAAACUCCUACGGGAGGCAGCAGUGGGGAAUAUUGCACAAUGGGGGAAACCCUGAUGCAGCGACGCCGCGUGAGUGAAGAAGUAUUUCGGUAUGUAAAGCUCUAUCAGCAGGGAAGAAAAUGACGGUACCUGAGUAAGAAGCCCCGGCUAACUACGUG
rnacentral:rRNA from 1 species